rnacentral:lncRNA from 1 species
AUCACUUAAAAAUGUUUUCAAAGUUCUGUAUUGACAUCCUUGUGAGCCAGGGUGGACAUGAAGGGUAACUCAUGAUGACACCAAAAUGUGCUAGUUUUAAUUGUGUUAUUUCACCUCUCUCUCUCUCUCUCUCUCUCUCGUGCUGUAUGCACGUUUACGUUAUGUAUGUACACUUGUAUUACCUAAACUCUUUAAGGUACUUUGUUUUGAUGAUGAAUGUUUAAUGGUAUUGAUUGUGACGCUUGAGGCUUGAACGGAAAUAUCCUGCUUAAUGUCAAAGCUUUGGGCUUCAUCAACUGCUCAUGUACUGUCCCUGCUCCAGAUUUCAUGGCUAUGGUAUGGUAUCUCAUUUUUCAAGCAUUUCCCAUCUUGUCAUAUAUAUUGUGGUUUUUAUGUGUAACAGUUGAUGUGCUGGAUAUGCAAUAGUGAAGUUUUGCUUGCUUGGUUUUACUGCCAUUUACCACUGGUUAGUCUCUACGUCAGUCGAUGUGUGUACUUGUGUGUUUUGUGUUUAGCAAUCUGGGACCCUUACAGUUUCAUUUUAUUAGCAAAAGGUAGCAAAAGGUUCCACUUUGACAUUGAAUCAUCUUAAUUUUUAUUUUCAUAUGCAUGCAUGCAAACAUUUGGUCUCUUGUUUUAUUGUUUGUCAAAUUUUCUAUUAGUGCACCUGCUUGUUCUGGUUACUAGCACUUGUGUUCAUCCUGGAGGUUGUUCGACAGUUUCCAAUAUAUGGUAUUUGAUCAAAAUCACUUUUAAACCCCCUUCUUCUAGCCCAUCUAUUAACGUACAAGUACUUUUUCCUAAACAACUAGUGGUAAAAUUAAGGCAUUUCAUUGUAUUGGUGAUUUUAUACUCAUCCACGGAAUGUAUAACUAAGUAAUUUGAAUAAGAUCGCUGGGAUUGGCCUCUCAGCGUCUUGAGGUUCAUUUGGAUGAUUGACUAAACAAAGAUUUUGCAGGUCUUGCUGGUUAGAACAAGAAAAAGAUUUGACUCCAAUUCCUUUUGGCAACUUGGCUUUGUUGUGCAGCAUCCUCUUUGAGAUUUGCAGGUUGUCGUCCUGGCAGUACCCUUGUUAAGGUUUAUCAAGUGCUCAUGUUCUCUAACAUGCUGCAGACAUUCCACCCAACUCCCAACCGUUCCUUCUUCCAUCAUUGGAUGAUGCCAAGGAGGACUAGCUUACAACAGAAGUUACAUAUAAACGAUUGUGACUUUCAGUUCUUGAAUUUAAUAAUAAAGAUCCACACUUGAACAGCUCGGUAUAAUUCAUUUUCAGUAAGAAACGAGAACGAGGUGUUUGGUUUGGUAAUCGCCGAGCUUGAAGUGUUUUCUAAGAUGGUGGUUUUUUGCCGAGCUUGAAGUGUUUUCUAGAAGGAUGGUUCUUUAGAGAUUUUAAAAUCAAUUCAAUAACGGUUUUUCAUCCAACAGUUCCAUCGAUUGAUUUGUUAAAGUUUUAAAAUCAACAACUAAUAAUUGAUUUCAAUCGACCAUUGAUUCUAUCGAUUUUAUUUUAGAAUUUUUUCAUAUGUUAUAAUAGUUGAUUUAAUUUAUUCAUUUGGAUAUUAUUAUUUUAUUAAUAAUAAUUUAUUUUAAAUUAAUUUUAUAUAAUUAUCUUUUUAUAAUUCAAUAAUGAACAAUUAUUAUUUUCAAAUUCCACUAAACUAGCUCUUAAUUAAUAGUGGAAUUUUAACUGUUGCUGCAGAUAACUCUCGUUUUCCUUUUUUAAUCCCUUCCUCAUCUUUCUCAAUGGUGCUCCAUUUCAUCUUAUACUAGCAAAAAUGAUAUUUCAUAGGGGGUGUCAAUGACACGCGAAUUUGAUUUGUCAAAUAUAAAAAAGAAAAAUAUGGAUUAAGCUAAACUUUAGUAGGUUCAAACAUAAAAAAGAAAAAUACAGAUUAAGCUAAACAAUAGUAGGUUCAGGUUCGUAAAUAGGUUGAUCUGUUUAUCAACCCAUUUAUGACAGGCUUGAAAUAAGUGGUGUAACGGAUUGACUUAUGAACUCAUUGUAAUCUGUUUAAUUUUUUCGUGUUGUGUUGGAUCGUGUCAAUUCCAUCCAACCCAUUUAUAAUUUAUAAAUUUUAAAAAAUAAAAAAUAGAAAAAUUAUAUAUAAAAGUGAGAGCAAAUAAAAAUAUAAUGAUUAAAAAGCAAAAUAUAACAAAUAAGACCUAUGAUGAUCCUAUUAAAAUUUUUUACUAUUUAUUUUUGUGCCACCUCUUUCACAGAAUAAAACAAAAUUCUAACAAAUAAUUUGUCCAUAUGAAUUUUAAAGAUGCCUUUUCGAACACGUAUUGAGGCUGCAACACGUGCGAAUGGCCUGUAAUGUACUUCCUUAACAUAGAUAUAUCAAAUACCGGAUGCACAUGUGAAAAAUUUGACAGCAAGUCCAGCUUGUAUGGCAUCUCUCCAAUUCUGCCUAUAAUCUCAAAGGAUCCUACAUUAUCGAGAGGCCAAUUUAUCUUUCUUGCCAAACCGCAUCACACCAUGUAUGAGGAACAUUUUCAAGAAUACAUACUCUCUAACACUGUACACCACGUGCUUCCGCUUUCGAUCUGCAUAACUUUUCUACCCGGUCGCGAAAAAUAUGAAGCUUUUCUGAAGUGAUAUAAACUAACUUUGGUUCUCCUAACUUUUAUUCAUCAACCUCUUCCCUACACACAGGAGAUCUGCACUUCCGGUUAUACAAAAGGGGUCAUCUCGAUGCUUACAUGGUAGCUGUUGUUAUACGCGAAUUCAAUCAACAGUAGGUACCAAUUUCAUUGACCACCAAAAUUUAUCACGCAUAUCCGAAGCAUAUCCUUGAAGGUCUUAAUUGUUUUCUUCGACUGUCCUUCAGUCUGGGAGUGAAAAGGCUGUAUUGAAGUCCAAUCCGGUACCAAGCUCUUUUUGUAGCUUUCUCCAAAACCUCGAGAUGAACUACGGUUCUCUAUCAAAUACUAUAAAAAUAGGAACGCCAUGAAGACUAACAAUUAUCUCCAGAUACACUCAUGCAUACUUAGCCACAAAAUAAGUAGUCUUUACCGGAAGGAAGUGCGCUGACUUAGUCAAUCGGUUCAGAAUUAUCCAAAUAGAAUCAUAACCAGUCGAAAUCUUGGGUAAACCUGAUACAAAAUCCAUAGUAAUCCUUUGCCAUUUCUACUCUAGUAUGAGAAGCGGUUGCAAUAAUCGUGACGACUUCUGAUACUCUAAUUUUAUCUGCUGACACGUUAGACACAAACUCUGCCACAUCCUUUUUCAUUCCAUUCCACCAAUAAUUUCCUUUCAAAUCAUUAUACAUCUUGGUGGAGCCCAGAUGUAUGCUGUAAGCCGUAUAGUGAGCUUCUUCUAAAAUCUUCUUUCUGAGAUUAUCUACAUCGGAAACACACAGCCUAGUUCCCAUUCUGAGAGUACUACCAUCAUCUAUAACAAAAUCAUUAGAUCGAUCCUACUGUACUUCUUUAAAGAUUUUUCAUAACUGUGGCUCCUAAUUCUGAGCUAACUUGAUUCUAUCAACGAGCACAGACCUAAUCCUGAAAUGUGCUAACAGUGCUCUCAAUUCCAAUACCUCCAUCUGUAACCCUUGAUUGUACAAUUCUUACAACUCUCUACUUAGGGGUCUCUUCUCUCCAUUGACAUGAGCAAGGCUACCUAUUGACUUCCUGCUCAAGGCAUCUGCCACGAUAUUAGCUUUACUUGGAUGGUAGAGAAUAUUACAAUCAUAACCUUUCAGAAGCUCCAACCAUCUCCUCUGUCUUAGAUUCAAUUCCUUCUGCUGAAAAAUAUACUUCAAGCUUUUGUGGUCCCUAUAUAUCUCGCACGUCUCACCAUAGAGAUAGUACCUCCAGAUCUUUAAUUCAAAGAUUACUGCUACCAUCUCCAAAUCGUAAGUAGGAUUAUUCUGCUCAUGCCUCUUCAAUUGUCUGCAUGCAUUAGCCACUACCUUACCAUUUCACAUCAGGACGCAACCGAAACCCACUCUGAAAGCUUCAUAAUACACCGUGAGUCCACGAGUUCCAGAGGAUAAGGUCAAUACCGAAGCUGAAGUUAAAUAGUCUUUCAACUUCUGGAAACUUCUUUCACACACGUCAGUCCAUUGGAACCUGACAUUCUUUUGAGUCAACUUAGUCAAAGGUGUUGUUAUCCUCUAAAAGUCCUACACGAAUCUAUGUUAGUAGCCUGCCAAUCCUAGAAAGCUACGCACCUCAGUCACUGUGGUCGAUCUCUGCUAGUCAGUCACCGCCUCUACUUUCUUGGGGUCCACUUGGAUACCGUCUCUAAACACAACAUGUCCGAGAAAGGCAACAUUUUCUAACCAAAACUCGUACUUAGAAAACUUAGCGUACAAUUGAUGCUCACUCAAAGUCUGAAGUACCAUCCUCAGAUGCCACGCAUGCUCCUCUUCGCUUCUGGAAUACACCAAGAUAUCAUCAAUGAAUAUAAUGACAAAACGGUCUAAGAACUGCUUGAACACCCAAUUCAUCAUAUCUAGAAAGGUUGCAGGAGCAUUAGUGAGUCCAAACGACAUUACCAGGAACUCAUAAUGCCCAUGACAUGUCCUGAACUUCGUCUUCCGCAUGUCUUCCUCACGGAUCCUCAACUGGUGAUACCCCAAUCUCAAAUCAAUCUUGGAAAAGCAUGUGGCUUCUUGAAGCUGAUCCUUUAGAUCAUCGAUGCGAAGAAGUAGAUACUUGUUAUGAAUCGUCGUUUUAUUCAGCUGCCGGUAAUCAAUACAGAGGCGCACAGUAUCAUCCUUCUUCACGAACAUAACAGGAGCACCCCAUGAAGACGUACUGGGUCUGAUAAAACCUUUAUCCAGGAGGUCCUGCAACUGCUCAUUUAACCCCUUUAACUCGGCUGGUGCCAUUUGAUAGCGCGAUAAAAAAAUAGGUGUCAUACCCGGUACCACGUUGAUACAAAACUCUAUCUCUCUAUUAGGCAGUAAUCCUGGUAGCUCUUCUGGAAAUACAUCGGGAAACUCGCAGACCACCUGAACAUCCUCAACACUAUCUUUUUCUGCCGAGGUAUCCCUGACUAAAGCUAGAUAUCCCUGACACCCACGGUGAAGCAUCAGCCUAGCUGUAAUAACUAACACGAGAUUCGAUGGAGUAGGUACUUGCUCGCCUUUAAAAUGAGACACCGAGUCUCCCAGAAUUUGAAAAGUUACUUGCUUUUCCCAGCAGCCCAUCAUGACAUAAUGCAUAGCUAACCAAUCCAUUCUCAAAAUUACGUCGAAAUCCAUCACGUCCAACAGAAUUAAAUUGGCAACUAAAUCCCGACCCUCAACUGACACCGGACACAAUGGAAAUACAACAUCGGUCUCUAGGGCGUCACUUAUCGGCGUAGUGACCGACAUUGAAACUUGGAGUCUAACUGGUUAGACAUCAAAUGUUAAAGUAAAACUAGGCGAUACAAAAGAAUGGGUAGCCCCAGAGUCUAACAAAACUCUAGCUUCAGAAUAGCAUAUAGGGAUAAUACCUGACACCACAGCAUUAGAGGCUCGUGCAUCCUAAUGAGUGAGUGUGAACACUCUCGCCUGCCCAUGGCCUGAAGCCUGACUCUAAAAUCUGCUCCUAGAUCGGCUCCAUUAGACCUACCUCCAGAACCACGGCCCUGGUGAUAUUCCGGAGCUGAAAAAAAAACUGGUCGGGUCACACUAGCAGACGAGUCCUGAGAAAAAGUUGGCUGGCUAAAGUAGCAAGGACAUGCUCAAGCCAUAUGUCUCAUCUCUGCCACACCUGAAACAGGCUCCGCUCAAAGUCAGGCACUGUCCCUGAUGUGACCUGCCGCACAUCUGACAGGUGUUAGCUCCAGAACUAGAGCUGUUGUAGGCAGAACUCUGCCUACUGCCACUAAAGCCCUGCUCUGGCUUGAAUCCUCUACUACCCUUCUGGUUAUGUCUACCCUUCUUGUGAGUAUGGUAGCCUCUUUGCCCGGCCUGCUGGUUGGAACCUCCAGAGUAGCCUCCACUGUCUUAAUACGGCACAACUGGCUGUGCACUGGACUAACCCUCCAUCCUGGUCUUCUUUUUCCUUCCAUCAUCAAUCCCCUGGCCAAAUCCUCGUAGGGUCAUCUCCAUCUGCCUAGUCAUUAAGUCACUUCUAGGAAGCUGCUCGUCCUAGACUGAACCAAUGAGACAUACUCUGGACCAAAUCUUAAUAUAUACUUGUUAUUCUUCUGCUUCUCGGUCCCCACAACAUAGGGCGCAUACCUACUUAGCUGCACAAAUUGUCUAGUGUACUCUGCCACUGACAAGUCUCCCUUAACUAGUCUCUCAAAUCUCUCUAUGUACUCCUGCCUCACGCUAAAAGGAAUGAAGUACUCCUCAAAUCUGUCUCUGAACUGCCUCCACGAUAAUCCAUCCAAAGAAGGGCGGAUAUGGUCUCUGAACCAGUGAGAUGCUAUCCCCUUCAAAAGAAAACCGGCCAUCUCGAUGGUUCUCUUGUCAGAACAGUGCAAAUCUGAUGUCAUUUUUUCAACCUCAUCCAGGAAGUCCAAAGGAUCCCUAGAUGUCCUAUCAAAUUCCAUGGGUCUCAACUUAGUAUACUCCGACAUGGGAACCUCGUCCGGAUUCCUGAUACCGGACCCAUUAUCGCAGCUCCCUAAACCUUGGACAGCCUGCUGCUGUUAAAAAGCUAACAACUGCUCUAAAGUCCUCUGCAUCCCAGUCAUACCGGCUACGAACACUUCCACAAGGACUCCACCAGCACCGUGUGCCUCCUGAGCCUCGCCUUAAUCUGGUUGGGCUACCGCUCGAGGCCUACCUCGCCUCCUGGUAUCACGGGCUGGGGCUGGUGGGGCCGACUGAGUGGAAACCUCAUCUUAGCCCUUUUGGGGCACUGCUGCUGCUGCAGCCGCUCGAGUCCUCGGUAUAGCAGGGGCUGAAAAUAAACAACAAGAUAUCAAAUCCAACAGACUCUCUAACAUAUAGUACAAAUACUAGAAUCAAUAAAACACGCAAGGACGGGCUCGAUUCCUAACUCCGCAGUAGUUAAGGAAGCUAACCUAGGUCAAAGGAGAUCUAAACCUAGGCUCUUAUACCAACUUUGUCACGACUCGAUCUAUGGGUCCAUGACCGGUAUUAGGGAAUGUGUAGGCUUAAGGCCACCAAGACCCGUAGUAAGCCUUACUAGUCGAUAUUUCAAAUAUACAUAUAAAAACAUAAUAUUAUACCAGUCUGACAUGCCAUAUACAAGUCUCUAACUGAACAAUAAUAACACUUCAUAAUUUGCUACAGUCCACAUCAAAUUUCAUUUUUCUUUUUUUUAAUAUUUAUUUAUUUAUUUAUUAUUAUUAUUAUUUAUUAUUUAUUAUUCUUUUUCUUCCGGAUACAUUAAAUUUCAAAAUGAGCAGCAAUAAAUGAUUAAACCUUGCUACUUUUAUUUUUAAUUGAAAAGAGAUGACACUAAAGUAUCAAUAUUUUAGAGUUAUGUCUACUAUCUUUUACCUUAAAUUAAUGGUUAAAUACAUAUUUAUACUAACAAUUACAUAUAUAUUUAUACUCUUGAACUCAUAUUGAUUAGUUAAUUUAAUAUUUUGAUUUUAAUUUAAUAAACACUUAAAUUUUAUUUUCUUACUCGUUCAAAAAUUACAAAAAUAUAUUUUAUAAGUCCCAUUUAAAUUUUGAGUCCUACAUGAACAAAUUCCUGUUCUAAUUCAAAAUUCUAUUAUUAUAAGUUUUCUGGUGUCUUCAAUUUUCAAACCUUCAUGCUUGAGCUUCUACCCUAUAAGAUUAUGGUUCAAAUUAGAAAAAUAUUUUUCUCCAAGUUGAAGUUAGAUUUGAAGUCAUACACAAAAUGACAAAUUUUAAAAAAUAUACAUAUAAAAUAGUUUUUGGACCUUUGUUUGGAACUUUUAGAUAACCUAAAUGGCAACUUGCAAGCUCGUAUACUAUUACUUGUUGGGUGAGCCCACUAAAUAGAGCAAUCAUGAGCAAUGCAGAGACCAAGAAUUGACUCUUUUUCUUUUUAUUAUUUUCACUUUUUACAUCGGCUCUAUUAAUUCUGAUUAGUUUCGAUUUUUAAUCAGGUCUAUCUAUUUCUAAAUUAGUGAGUUUAUUGAUAAAAAUCAUGGAAAGGAAUAAUCAUUAUCUUCUUAUUUCCCUCUCUCUUUUCUUUUCUCUUUUUCUUUUCUAAGAAAAAAAUCUUAUCAUCAAGUUGAUAUAUUUUUUUAAUAUUUCGAUAGAAUAUAUUUCUUUUUAACAUUUUAAUAAAAGAUCCAAAAAUAUAUACACAGGUGAGAUGGUGAGUUAAUAUAUAUUUUAUUAAAAAGAUAGUGAAUUAAUAUAGAAUUUUAAAAGUUUAAAUUAAAUUUAAAAAUAAGUAGCAAUAAAUGAUUAAACCUUACUACUUUUAUUUUUAAUUGAAAAGAAAUAACACUGAAGUAUCAAUCUUUAUUUUAAGUCUGAGAAAAUCAUUUUUUUAGAUGGAACGAAAAAUUAUUUACUUUAAGGAGUUAUCUUAUAAAAUAAUACUUAAAUAUCUUUUUAAAUAUAAAAUAAAAAAAUUAGUUUGGUCCUUCACAUUUUUAAUUUUAAUAAUGUAUUACAAAUUAUAUAAUUUUAUUAAUUAAUAUUACGUGAUACAAUACCAAUAAACACCUAAAACAAAUUCUGAAAUUCCAAAAAGGUCCAAAAAGAGAGCCGUGGUGGUAUUUGAAUCACCACAUUCUAGUGAACGAAACCCUCUUCUGUUUCGCAAAGCCCAAACUCUAACCUUGUGAAAACCUCCCCAGUCUCCUUCUUUUCCCCCUUUUUUUUCUCCCUCCUCUCUCUCUCUCUCUCUCUCUCUCUCUCUCUUCUCUUCUCUUCAAUCUCUAAAUCCUUUCCCCAAAUUCAAUUUUGCCUAAUCUUUGUUUUUGGGAGAUUUAAGGGUUUUGUAUCUUUAUCCCUCUGUUUAUCGAUAAGAUCUGCUGCUCAAAUCUUAUCUAAGUCAUGGCUACUGUUGCUCCUUCUGCUGAGAGUAUCCUUUUACUAAUUUUAUUAUAUGUGUUUACUUGAUUUAUGGGUUUUCUCUCUCUAACUUGAUCUGUUUGUUUUGGAUCGAAUUGGGUUUUUAUCUAGGGUUUCAGUAGAGUUUUGUGUUUGGUAAGCUCUUUAUUAUUAGUUUAUCAGCAUUCUCUGGCGUGGUGAUUUUUUUAAUUUUUGUUUGUUAUGCCCUUUAGGUUUAGGUCUGAGGGAUGCGUAUUUGUAUGCUUUAAAAUAGUAAUAUUUAGUGUUUUGUUUUUGUAAUUAAUAUAAAUAUGCAGAUGGGGAUUUUGUUUGCUGCUUUAUUCUUUUAUCCAUGGUCAAAACACAAGAGAAAAACUGUGUUCCCUUUACUUUGCUUUUAUAUAGAAACUGCAGAUUUGCUCCAGAAUUUAUAACUGGAUUCUCAAACAAAGCCCUUGGAAAUUCCUGAGCCAACUAAGAAGGUAACAUGUAUAUCUUUGUAUCAUGUUAUUAUGGAUUUCAGGGCAUAAGCUUUCAACUAUGGGAAUUGAAUAUGUAAUUUGAAUAUUGUUUUAUAAAUUAUAUGCAAACUUCUGUUUACCAAUAUGGGGCUGUUGACUCGGGUAUAAAUUUAUCACUAGAUUCUCAAUCUAAAUAUGUGUACCCCUAUCCAAUCCAAACUUUCGUCAAGGAUCAAUUUCUUCCUACUUUAUUAUCUUACAGGAAAUCCACACUCUAAUUCCCUUUCAGCUUAAGAAUGCUAUAUAAAAAUUGCAACCAAAUCCAUCUCCUUUUCCACAAUCAUUUAUCUUUAUGCAAUCAUGACUCUUUCUACCGUGAUAACUUAUAAUAACUUCUUGUUCCUUCAGUGUCUUUGUUGUAACCGAUAUACUUGUUUUUCUAUUUUUUUCAAGCAGCAUUAAAAUUCAAUAAGGAAAAAACAGCUUGCCUAUAAUGCUUACUAGUCUAUUCAUUUAUGCUCAUAAGAGAAAUCAAUAAAUAAAUAGUAAGGUUAGUUAAACUCUAUUUAAUAAAGAUGAAAAUUGAAAAGCUAACCAACAUUUUCAAAAUUCCAAGUCAAUUCGAUCUCGUAAUGAAAAAAAAUAGACUCUAACCAAUAUAUCUUCAAUCUUUAACUGAAAAUUUUAAUUUCAUGCAUAAAAGAGGUGAUAACAUGAAAGGAAAGGUAAUCAUGUAUGUGGCAAAUACAUGUAAAACUAAGAUAAGUUGCAAAAAUUACGUCGAUUGAUAAACAAACAAAAAAAUUGAAGAUACAAUUGAAGAAACUAAAGAUCAAGAAAAUGGGUGAAGUGUCUUUCUUGUUUCCUUGUUUAUGGUUAUCUCCACUUCUGAAAUGAUUUUACUGGAAAUUACAAAUUGAAUCUUGGAGCAGUUAAAGACUGGAGAGAGAGAGAUAUUUGAUCGAUAAAAGAGAUGCAAAAUAGAGCAUGAGUAUAGACUUCUUGGACCGAGAUGCUAAGGUCUAAUGGGUUUAAUUCAGCUAUAACGGCGUCGUGUUAUUUGUGGGCUUCAUUAUCCUAAGAGAGCACGAAGUUGAUCAAAUGGCUCGAGCUUUUUCUAGUGUACCUUUUUGGUAUGACCUUGUUCAACGACUCGGGAAACUCGUUGAAGACUCACNNNCUUGUGGUAGGCUCACAGCCUAUAUGUACUUCACGGGUAAUGAAGAAAGUUGGGGUAAUGAAGCCCACAAGUAACACGAUGCCGUUAUAGCUGAAUCAAGCCCAUUAGACCUGAGCAUCUCAGCCUAAGAACUCUAUACUCGUGCUCUGUUUUGCAUCUCUUUUAUCGAUCAAAUAUCUCUGUCUCCAGUCUUUAACUACUCUAAGAUUCAGUUUGUAAUUUAUAGUAGAAUCAUUUCAGAAGUGGAUAUAACCAUAAAGAAGGAAACAAGAAAGGUACCUCACCCAUUUUCAUGAUCUAUAGUUUCUUUAAUUGUAUCUUCGGUCUUUUUCUUUGUUUAUCAAUACGCGAUUACCUUUCUUUUCAUGGUAUCACCUCUUUUGUGUAAGAAAUUAAAAUUUAAAGUUAAAAGGUUGAAGAUAUAUUGAUUAGAGUUUAUUUUGUUUCAUUGCGAGAUCAGAUUGAUUUCGAACUUUGAAAAUGUUGGUUAGCUUCUUGAUUUUCAUCUUUAUUAAAUGGAGUUUAACUAACCUUACUAUUUAUUUCUUGGUUUCUCUUGUGGGUAUAAAUUAAUAGAUUAGUAAGCAUUAUAGGCAAACUGUUUUUUUCUUUCAUUGCACUUGCUGUGUGUCUUGAAAAUUGAAUGGCAAAUUUAUUGAAUCUUAAUGCUGCUUGAAAAAAGAGAAAAAAAAGUAUACUGGUUACAACAAAGACACUGAAAGAACAGGAAGUUAUUAUAACUUAUCAUGGUGGAAAGAAUCUUAAUUGCAUAAAGAUAAAUCAUUGUGGAAAAGGAGAUGGAUUUGAUUGCAAUUUUUAUAUAGCAAUCUUAAGCUGAAGGGGAAUUAGAGUGUGGAUUUCCUGUAAGAUAAUAAAGUAGAAAGAAAUUGAUCCUUGAUGAAAGUUUGAAUUAGAUUAGGGGUACACAUAUUUAGAUUGACCGAGCAACUUUUCAUGAUUUACCAGAUAGUGGAAAUCUUUAGGCAGGUAAUAAAUGAAAAAGAGGAAAAGCAGGAAAAUAAUGAUAUCAAAUGAGAAUUUUGACCUUUAAUUUAGAAAAAAGGACUGACUUAGAAGCAAAUCUUGGUGCUUGAACAUUGUCAUGCUGAGUUGCUGCUCUUUGAUAUAUCUUUUUUUAUGAAAAUUUUUUAAAAUAUUCCAGAUUUUAAUUUUUGAUCAUUUCUCAAUAGAUGGUGGAUCGAUAUUGGAUUGGUUUCUCUCUGGUGCUUUCAUGUCUUGUUCAAGUUUUAGAUGCCAGUGCCGGUGAUGCCGAUUCAGUCUACAGGUAUAUAUUCUUUGUUUCCCUUGCUUUUUAUUUUAGAACUGGUGUUUUAUCAUUUUAGGCUUUGCUCUAGAUCAUUUCCCAAGCUUCACAAUUGUGAAAUGUGCUCAAGGUUUUGCGUUGGUCUUCCUAUGAUUCACCUUAUACAUGUAAAGUCAUUUACUAGGAUAUUGACAUUUACUAGUUCAUACUCUAUUGAUGUUAUUGCACAUGUGCUUCAGGGUUAAUCCUCCUUUUGCUGCUUCAGGGGAAUUUGUGAGACUACAAAUUAAUUUUUCAUGUUAACUGAGGAUUUAAUCAAAAUGAUGCCUGGAUCCAUCUAAAGCUAUUUGAUUAUAGUUUUAAUGUCGACAUAAACUGGUUAGAUCCCAAGUUUUUCAUAAAAACACAUGUACAACCACAUACAUAAAUGUGUUUAUGCAGCACUCUCAUUUUGUGUGUACUUGAAUUACGUGACUUGAUAUUUUGAGACUUCACCACUUGCCCAUUUUGCUCAAUUCUCGCUGGAAAUAUUAAGAUCAGUGCCCUUUUUAUGAAAGAUCUGCUAGAUGUGCUCCAAUCAUUGCUAUGACUAGUCAGCAUAAUAUCUCAUUUUCCAGACAUGCAUCUUAUGUUUUCUCCAUCCUGUCAUACAUAUUGAGAAAAUAUGUGUGCUUUGUAAAGCAACUUGUCUGUAAUGGUAAAUGUGUUAUACAUGCAUUACUUGUUAUUCCAUAUCUUAGCCCACUUGUUUCAACAGCCAAGCACCAAUCCAAAAUUUACAAUGUACUUUCAGAUAGUAUACUUUUCAGUGGCUUUACUUUUUUUGGUUUUCUUCUGCUGGUGACUGUAUUAUGCAUCCCUCAUGGUAUCUGUUGAAUUCUUUUCUUAGCAUUUGUUUUGGAAUUGAUUAAUCUGCUUCUAUUUAUCAUGGUUGGGAUCUUCUACGUGCAUUGAAAAGGGUUCAGUAUGUGGAUAGGUGAUAUACUUUUUAUGUUACUGGUAUUUAGGGCUUGUGUUGGACAAUGUGAAAAAUCUGGAUGUGUGGGUCAAAGAUGCUUUUCGCACUGCAAGUUUUCUUCAGAUGGCGUCUCAAUUGAUGGUCCAUGGUAUAUGCAAGAACCUCUUUACUUACGAUGGAAGCAAUGGGAUUGCGAAAGUGACUGUCGCUACCACUGUAUGCUCGAUAGAGAAAAGGAAAGAGAAGCACUUGGCCAUGGUCCUGUCAAGUAUCAUGGUAAAUGGCCCUUCAACCGUGUAUACGGAAUUCAGGUUUGCUGUUCAGUAAAAUCGUCGUUAGUAUUUCUUUUCUUUUUUUGCCGAAGGUAAUUCAGAUCUUACCACAGUUUUCUGGACUGCGCAUCUUGACUGGUUAUUAUGUACAGGAGCCUGUCUCUGUAGCUUUCUCUGCACUGAACCUUGCUAUACAUUUCCACGGCUGGCUUUCAUUUUUCAUUCUUCUUAAUUAUAAGUUGCCACUUAAACAAGAUAAGAAAGGUGUACUAUGAAUAUGCGACUCUGUGGCAUAUCUAUGGGCUCUUAUCAAUGAACUCCUGGUUCUGGAGUUCAGUUUUCCACAGCCGGUAAGCUUAUUCUCCUUUACAUCAGGAUAAGCAUCUGCAAGACAUCUGCAAGCAUAUUGUUUUUUUUAUAUAUAUAUUUUUAUUUUCAUUGCAAAGACAUGCAAACAUAUCUUAUAGAUAGGUCAGAUCUUUCAAUUUCUUAUAUUGAUUGUGUACUUUAAAUGUAGAGAUGUGGACUUGACAGAGAGGCUGGACUACUCUUCUGCAGUUGCAUUAUUGGGUUACUCGCUCAUUUUGGCUAUACUAAGAACUUUAAAUAUAAGAGUUGAAGCAAAAAGGGUCAUGGUUUCUGCUCCACUUAUUGCGUUCGUAAUUACUCAUAUAUCAUUCCUCAAUUUCUAUAAGAUGGAUUACGGUAAUAUAUCUGUCCUCUUAUAGCUAUCAAGUCCAAAGAUUAGUACAGAGUUAUAUUCUGAAUUAUGUAGAGUAGCUUUCCAUCACGGUGUCCUGAGGUUUUCUUUGACCCCAUCUGAUAUGUUUGUUGUGUUAUUGCACAUCACAUUUGAAAGCUAAGAUGGUAUAGGGUUUGGGGGGGGGUUUGAAUGGCUGCUUGUUCCUUUAGGGAACAAUGCAACGGUACUGUUUGUGCAGGGGGCUUAAGAGGUGGAGAGAGAGAGAGAGAGCUGUGCCUUUGAAUUUUUAAUUUCUCCCAGCUCUGUAAUGCAAAUGUUGUCAAAGUUUAUGGUGACGAACUGACAAGACUGUAAAUACUUACUUUACAGGAUGGAACAUGAAAGUAUGUGUCGUCAUGGGAGUGGCUCAGCUUCUCAUAUGGGCAAUUUGGGCUGGUGUCAGCCGUCAUCCUUCUCGGUGGAAGUUGUGGAUGGUGGUCGUAGGAGGUGGGCUUGCAAUGCUUUUAGAAAUCUAUGAUUUCCCUCCAUAUAAAGGAUUUAUAGAUGCCCAUGCUCUUUGGCAUGCCACCACUAUCCCUCUUACCUACAUCUGGUGGAGUUUCAUCAGAGAUGAUGCUGAGUUCCGUACCUCUAGCCUCCUUAAAAAGGCCAAGUAGUAGUUCAUGGCGAAACUGAUAAAUAUGACCUGACAAGGAAGGAAAAAAACCACCGAUAGUUUAUAGGAUUUUGUAUUCGUUGUUUUCUUGUAAUAAUAUUUGAUUUUCUUAUUAAAAAAGAGGUACUAAAGGGAUAGGAAUUGCUUAGUAUGAUAUUAAAUUUGGAGUGAGAUUUUGAUUUUAAGUGUUUGUGAUGGAAUGAGAUUAUGUUUUUGUGCAGUGGAAUGUAGGCAAAAGCUAAGUGAGGCAUAUCCUUUAUGAGUAUUCUUCAGAGAGGAAUAAUGGCUUUGUGCAGGCUAGUCAACUGCUUUAGAGAUUUUCUUUUUCUUUUUUAAGUAUGAAUAAAGAUUUCCCUUUUUUGACACAUCAGUUUUAGAAAGAUACAUAACCAGAAAAGAAUAUAUAUAUAUAUAUAUAUAUAUAUAUAUAUAUAUAUAUAUUAAUAUUAUAUUAUAUAUGAAAUAUUGUGCAUUGGAAUAUUACAAAUGCUUCGUCCAUUUUAUAAUAUCCGAAAGGACUUUGCAAGGCUUAAGUUGGCCAACCUGUCCGCCACUUGGUUCUGUAUGUUCUAUUAAAAGAAUCAAUGCACAUACAUUUACAUUUAAUUAUUAGAGUUUUAUUUAUUUUAAUUGUAAAUAUUUCAUUUUAUACAACAAUUACGGCCUAACGUUCACUGGGACUUUAAAAUGAUAAUAUUCAACAAACUCUUCUCAUAUCGUGUAUGUAAUAGACUUAGUCUUUCUAUUAACGAACCGUGCGGCACUAGCUAUUUUCUACAAUUAAACAAAUAAACUAGUCAGUUUUAUUCUUCAAAUGCUAGGCAAAAUGCUAGCUAAGAUAGCAAGAAGAACAACAGAGAGCUUGAAAUAAUUUGGAUAGCUUUUAUUACAAAAAGAACUUGCUUGAGUUUCUCCUUGAUGGUUACAAAUGAAGUUCUUAAGCUCUUUAUAGGUCCCCACCUCCUCAAUGGACAGUCAUAAUUAAUUUGAUCUAAUGGCUAAAAUUAAGUAUCCAGAAUUUUCUAUAUAAUUCUAUACUUAUCUACAUAUUUUACAUGUCUCUAAAUUGUUCUAGAAUGUUCUAGAAUCCUCCUUUGUCUUCUAAAGAAUUCUAGAGACUUCUUCGUCCUUUGAACCUCAUUUGAGUAGGGAAAACUUGUAGGUUGUGACAUUCUCUCCCACUCUGGCAACACCCUCGUCGCGUCCUCCUUAUAUGCCUCGAUUAAGUCAUUGAAGUUCCACAAAGUGAGCUCGUGCUCCCAACUAGCUUUACUUUUGGGCAAUCCUUUCCACUUCACAAAAUACUUAACAUAGCUUGGAUGGGAACCCAUUCUUGGUAUAUGACCCAAUGUGCAAUUAUCUCUUUGGCUUCCUUCUCGGCUACGGUUGUGAUUGUUGUUGGAGCUCUCUUCGACUUGCCCCUACUUGGAUCUUCCUUCGUCUUCAUAGUAGGGCUUCAAUAAGCUCACAUGAAACACAUGGUGCAUUUCUAAGUGCGACGCAAGCUUCAAUCGAUAAGCUAGCUUCGCAACUCGUCGCUCUACUAGAAAAAGACCUUCAUAGCGCCUUAAUAGUCCUUUAUGCACCUUUGCGAACCUUCGACUUUGAUGGGGAAGGAGCUUUACCAUCACUAAGUCUCCUUCCUCAAACUCUAAGUGCCUCCUCUUUCCAUCCGCCCAUUUCUUCAUUCUCUUGGCAGCCUUGGUUAGAUGAGCGCGUGCCAUAUCGGUUUUAUCAUGCCAUCCUUUGACAAACUUGAAUGUUGCAGGACUAGGGCCUUUAUACCCUACGGCUAGUAUGUGUAGAGUCAAUGGUUGUUGUCCCGUGGCAAUCUCGAAUGGACUCACCCCUGUUGAUUCACUCUUCUGCAAGUUAUAUGAGAAUUAGGCAACAUCGAGCAACUUUGCCCAAUCACUUUGGUUGGCACUCACAUAAUGCCUCAAGAAUAACUCUAUUAAGGCAUUCACCCUCUCCGUUUUUCCAUCGGUUUGGGGAUGAAAGCUUGUAGAGAAGUUAAGCUCGAACCCCAUAAGCUUAAAUAACUCCAUCCAAAACCUUCCAUCUAAGCGAUCUUUGGUAUUGCCCCAAUAUUUCACCAUAUGUUUAAAAAAUACGCGUGCUGCAUCCUCGGCCGCGAACUUUGUAGGCACAGGAAUGAACACUCCAUAUUUGCUAAAGCGGUCCACAACUACCAUAAUGUUACUACAUCCUGCAGACUUUGGUAGGCACGUGAUGAAAUCCAUGGAGAUACUUUCCCAGUGCCUCUCUAGAACUAGUAAUGGCUUUAACAAACUAGUGGGCUUGUUUUGCUCCACCUUGUCUUGUUGACACACAAGACAAGUCUUGACAUAAAGCUCAAUGUCGUCCCGCAUCUGGGGCCAAUAGCAUCAACGCUUCACAAGUGCCAACGUGCGAUACGUGCCUGGAUGUCUUGCCCAUUUUGGACCAUGGCACUCUUUGAUGAUGGUCUUCCUCAAGCCUUCCCAUUUCGGCACAUAGACUCUAUUUCUCUUAGUAACGAGCACCCCAUCCUUUAGCCAAAAUUGGCGAGUCUUUCUUUUCUUCGCCAAUUCUACCAAAUUCUUGGCUUACGGGUCAUGCUCGAGUCCUUCAACAAUCCACCAAAGGAAAGUUAGCGCUAGUGAUGGAAGCCAACUCUGCCUCUCUACUUAGUGCAUCAGCCACUAAGAUUGCCUUUCUCAGCUUGUACUCUAUCACAAAGUCGAACUCCACAAGGAAUGCUUGCCAUCUUACUUGCUUCGGAGUUAGUUUCUUUUGAAAAAGUAUAGGUGCUCCAUAGGGUGCCUUGGAUGGCCUAAUGUAGCCAGCAUCCAACAACUCUUUUAGUUGUCUUUGCAACUCCUCUAACUUAGGAGGCACCAUGCGAUAAGAGAUUGCCGCAGGUGGACUUGCACUUUCUACCAACUCAAUCUUAUGGUCCCCCUAUCUCUUCGGUGGGAGCUUCUUUGGUAACUCCGCAGGCAUUAUGUCCUUGAACUCUUCUAGGAUACCCGUGAUCUCCUUAGGCGCUUCAUCUUGCGGCAUGGUUUCCACUCCUUCCUUUAGUGCCGCAAGGAAUGUGGGUUGAGCCUUCUUUUCCCCCUCGGAUAGUUUCAUGGCUGAGAUUUGCAUGGCUUCUAGCUUGGCUUCUCGUGUCAGUGGUACCAUGCAAGUAUAUCCUUGCUCUACGAUGCACGGAGUGUUGGCAAAUGGAAGUGGGAAUGAGUUUACUUUGUCUAGAAAUUCUAUGCCAAGCACCAUUUUAUAAUCAUCCAUCAUAACAAUGGAGAAGUCCAAGAGGCCAGACCACUCACCUAGGCUUACUUUGAUGUUUCGUGCAACUCUAUAUGUCACACACCGAAUUGACAGCCUUGAGCCACCCUUGCUCCUUUGUAUACUUGAUGCCAAGUCUUUCUACUUCUUUUACCUUAAGGAAAUUGUUGUUAGCCCCGGUAUCCAAUAAUGCUUCUAUCGUGUGGCCUUCAACCUUCGUCUCGAUGAACAAUCGACCAUUCUUUUCGGACUUAGGUAUCCCGAAUUUGGCUUUGAUGGCACUAAGGAGUUGCAAUGAUCCCAUCUUGGACCCCUCUUGUUCUCGUUGGUGCUCUUCCUUUUCUUCGACCAAUGCAGAGAGCUUGCUCUUCGUAGGGCACUCCCUUGCCUUAUGCGGUCCAUCGCAGAAGAAACACUUGAGACGUGGCCUGUCUCCGCCUUUGUCAUCCUUGUUACUAUGGUUGCCUCCCUCUUUGGGCUUGCCAAACUUGUAGGAACCUUCCUUCUUGUGGUGGCGGUCUCCCUCACUCUUUCUCUUAUCGUUCCUAUCUUGGUCGGGCUUGUGCUUGUCUUGCCUCUUAAUCUCUAUUAGGGAUUCGGCCACGGCAAUGGUAGUGUUGAGGUCUUGGACACUAUGAUGCUCCAACUCUAACCUUGCCCAAAUCUGCAACCCAUCUGUGAAUGAAAAUAAGGCUUAUUCAUCUGUAUAGUUAGGAAUCUCAAGGAGUGUGUCUGUGAAUUCUUUAACAUACUCCUUUAUGCUUCCCUUAUGUGAGAGUCGUUGUAACUUGGCCCUUGCUUCUCUAAUAGCAUUGUCGGGGUAGAACUGUUUCUUGAGAUCUUCCUUAAACUCUCCUCAUGAGUUGAUAAUGCAUGUCCCUUUCUUUAUGUUUCCACUCCUCCUUCUCCAUCAUAGCAUUGUGGUAUCUUCAAGGAAGAGUGUGGCAGUGUCGACCUUUUUGGCUUCUUCUACUAAGCCAAGUGCCUUAAAGUAUUGCUCCAAGCUCCAUAAGAAAUUGUCAAUUUCUUUCGCAUUCCUUGAGCCCUUAUAAGCUUUAGGCUUUGGAACAUCUAUCUUUGAUGGAUUAAAGACUACCAUAGGCACGCUUCCUGUAACACCCCCAUCACAUGCUAACCAAUAAACAUUAGCCAGGAAGCAUACAAGCGUCGUAGAAUAUAUACUACAGGUAGAUAGGUCAAUAUGUAGGUUGUUAAGAAUCCAGACACAAGGUUAUUAACAUAUAAACAUAUGAUUAUACUUAAACAUCAUUUAACAAGUAUUACAAACAUCUUCUUAUGCCUUAUAAGGCAUACUUCCAUAUAUAUCACAUAACUGCAUACAAAAAUGCAUUAGGAGGAGACUUCACAAAACUGGCCCAACUUGACAGAACUGCUAAAAGCUAGACUUCGCAUACAACCAACGGAUGCACUACUAUUUACAAACCUGAAAAGAAAAAUUUUGGAGAGGGGUGAGCCUCCAGCUCAGUAAAUAAAUAAUCAACAUAAUCUAUAUCACAUACACUUAAUACAAUUUCCACCCAAUCACAUAACUUUCCAUGAUAUUCAUAGUUUAGGUAUAAAGUCAUACCAUUCUACUCAAUUCAUUACAACCAUCAUAGAAGAAAUACAAUUCAACAAUUAUGGUUAGUUCUCACGGCUUGUGGAUCCCCUUUAAUGUGCUGCUCUGCCUCAUCCUCACAUAUCACACACGUAAGCUGCUCUGCCUCAUCUCACAUUAUACACUUUUAUAGUCUCUCUAGGCUUUAGCCUCCCAAGGCUUUAUAUAUAUAUAUUUUUUUUUUCACAGGGGAAUCCACCAUUCACAUGCACAUAUGCACUUAACAUCACAAUUUAAUCAUUUCACUUAUAUCAUAUUUCAGCAAUAACAAUUGUUCCACUCAACACCAAUCAUUUCCAUCUCAGUCAUUCAAACAUAAACAAUAUUAAGCAAACGCAACCAUUUGUGGAACAUUUGAUUAAAUAUAUGAACAUAGCAAAUAUUAACUAUUUACUUACUCAAAAUAUACUUAUUCCUUUAGCAUAUAAGAACCUCCUUUCUCCACAACUUCCUUUCCAGGCCUUUGAGUACCUGUCAACACAUUCAUCAAUUCACAUUUCAUGCAUAUUACAAAUAUUCAUGUAAAUGCGAGUUCUAAUGCAUUACAAGAUCAUCCCCUCUCUAAUUCAUAGGUCUAACUCUUCCUCUAACACUCUCAAUUACUAUUUUAAUAUCCUAUAAAUAUUUUCCAUCUAGUUAAAUACCAAUUUAACUCAAAUUAACAUCAAUAAAUUGCAUAAAACUAAUCUCCAACAUUUCUGUUUUCUAGACAGAAUUUAGUACCAAGGUAUAUUUAUUGCUGGGCAAAAUUGGCUUAAUACAAAAAUCUCAUAUUAAAUAGACAUAUCCAUUUAUGCGUCUAGUUUCAUCUCCAAGAAGAAUUACUCAAUUCCGACUUCUAUAGAUUUAAUUAUUUUCAAAUUACUGAGCAAGGGUCAUACAGCUAGUUGUACCCGAGCAGCAAUCUGUUUGCUUAAUUUAAGCAACCAAAACGGAAAAAAUAGCAAAAUUACAAAACUACAAAGUUAUAGAGGACUCUUUAAAUUUCCAUAGACACCAAUUAAGCUUAAUUUGGACUUAUAUAACCCAUGUUAUACCUAAAAUACAGAACAUCAAGGUUGCUGGAAUUUUGACAGUUUUCUAUCUUAACAUACUUAAACUUAAAUCAAGCUUAAUCUUUAUGCAAUCAUUCAAUACUCUACUAAUUCAUGAUAAUCAGACCUUUAAUUAAUCAAUGAGAGCAUCAAAUGAAGUUUUUCCAAUUUGUAAUCAAGAACCCUAAUGACAAAUUAAGAACACUCAAGUAACAACUUACCAAUUUCAGCUUUUGGGUUGCUAAUAUGCUUAAAUCCUUUAGCUUUAGCUUGGCUCCUUCAAUAGUUAGCAAAAUCCUAUCUUAAUCUUAACUUUUUCUAGGUAUUACACUCCUCUCUCUUAUUCCAAAUUUUGUGUUUUUGGCCAUGUACGAAUUUUAGAGAAAUGAAGAGGUAAAAUGAGCUUACUCAUGGUUCCAAUUUCCAAUAUUCCUCUCUUAAUGCCACCACCUACUAAACUAUUUUUAUCACCCUAAAUUAAUUCUUACUAACCAUAUAUAGGUACUAACUUUUAAUUGUAUCUUUUAAGUCCAAUCUAUUUACCCAACCUUCAACUAUUGGUUCAAUUAAGUCUUAAGGCUUAAUACACAUAACACAAGUACUUAAUCAACUUAUCUAAAUUAAUAAUCUAAUAUCAUGCUUCUUAUUCUCUACUUAUAAUUAAUAUAUAUAUGUUCUCAUAAAAUAAAAAUAUCAUUGAUAUACCAUCAUAUGCCCAAUGAUUAAAUGUAAAUGCACAUAACAUGGAUGAUGAGAAAAUGCAGGCGUUACACUUCCAUUCCUUAAGAAAUUUCACGUCCCUCGACCUUCCUCUCUCCUUCUUGGAUGGCUUGGACCCUUCAAGUUGGUCCUUCACAGACUCACUGUGAGGUUGCCUUACCUCCUCGGUAACUUUGGUAGUCUCACUUACUUCCGAUGUCUUUGCCAUACUUGCUUCUUCAAGGAUUGUGCUAACCUUGCUCUAAUACUAACUGUCACGAAGUUGGUCUUUCUACCACCAAACCGCGCGGCACUAGCUACUUUCUACACUCAAACAAGUAAGCUAGUCAGCCUUACUCCUCGAAUGCUAGGCAAAAUGCUAGCUAAGAUAGCAAGAAGAACAACAGAGAGCUUAAGAUAAUUUGGAGAGCUUUUAUUACAAAGAGAACUUGCUUGAUUUUCUCCUCGAUGGUUAUAAAUGAAGUUCAUAAGCUAUUUAUAGGCCUCCACCUCCUUAAUGGACAGUGAGGAUUGAUUUGAUCUAAUGGCUAAGAUUAAGUAUCUAGAAUUUUAUAUACAAUUAUAUACUUAUCUACAUAUUCUACAUGUCUCCAAAUUGUUCUAAAAUGUUAUAGAAUCCUUCUUUGUCUUCUAAAGAAUUCUAGAGUCUUCAUAGGCCUUUGAACCUCAUUUGAGUAGGAGAAACUUGCGGGUUGUGAUAUGUAUUACCGCCAGCAUUUUUUGAGACUUUUCUUAAAGGGAUAUUUUAUCAUCAAUCUAAUCACCGUGUAUAUUUUUUUUUUCUUAUCAAUAAAUAAAUUUUUUUACUUGUAUAAUUUAAAUGUCUCAUAUAUUUUUAAAAAAGUGAUUCGAUUUAUGAGAUUUGAUAUGAUACUUAUGAGAUCAAAAAAUCAAAUUUAUUUAUAAAAGUAAGUUCUUCUUCGUAUGGAGUUAAAAAAGAAGUUCGUCAAUCAAGAAUUUAAAAAAAAAGAUUAAACACUAAUAUUAGUAAAUAUAUGAUUUUCUAUAAAAGAAUUUUUUUUUAUAAUUAUUAUUAUUUUGACAAUGUUUGUAAAAUGCAACUCAAUAAUAUAAAUAAUUAGUUGUCUGAAAGUUAGAUUCAAUUUCUUCACCAUUUUGCUAAAUAGAUAUCAGUUUUUUUCAUAAAAAGAACUAUACAACCAAUUGAAUAAAAUUAAAUAAAAUGAUAAUUAAAUAUGAUGACUAAUAAUGUUGAUGACUGUGUAAUAAUAAUGGCGAUAGUUUUGAACACGCUAAAAUGCACAGUUUUGAACAUGUUGAAAAUGCUCCUCUUCAAAUAAAGUGAAAAAGGCUAAACUUCAAAAGGAAAAUAAAUUAAAAAAAAACUGUGGAUCCAUUUCAGAAUUCCAAAUCACAACAAGCGUAAUUCUGACGGCAUGCGCGUAGCUACUAUUUUUCCAUAAAAAUAAAAAUAAAAAUUCAAACUUCCUCACUACACGUUGCAGCUGCAGGUCACGCGCACGUGCAUUUACUGUGGCUCCACGUCGGACCAAUGGCAUCGAAUGGUAAUUUCCCUUUUAAUCCAUGUCUACUUCAAUAUUAAUAACCGUACCUUUUUUUCUCCAAAACCACUAGCUGCUGCUCUGCUGCUGCCUUUAGAAAUUAUGCGUGGAUCGUCAGAUGAACGUAGUCGGUGCACAUCCACGUGUCACAAUCCUCUUCGUCUGUUUCCAUUAUAAAUAAACAUCAGUCUAGUGUAAUAGAGUAGGCGCAGCAUGUAUCUAUCUAUAUACUUCCGUCUUCUGUCCUUUCUUUCCUUUCUCUCUUUCUGUCUCUCUUGAAAAUUCAGCAUCUAUUAUUUGGAAGAGAGAGAAAAAAAAAAAAAGAAUAAUGGAGAAGGGGAGAGAGAGUUGAUUCUGUUACCGGCGGUCUCUAAUUCGCUUGGUGCAGGUCGGGAACUGAUUGGCUUUUCUAUUUCUAAUGAUUUCCAGGCGGCGAAAAGUUAUUGGUCAAGAUUAGAUGGAAAGUGAAUUGGAUCCCGCCUUGCAUCAACUGAAUCGAAGACCGGGGUGAAGGGUUGGUUUCGUGGACCUUGAGAUUUUAUCUGCCGUUACUGUUCAGAUCUCAGGUUGGGAUUUUUUUGUUUUUUUAUAUAGUUUUUAUUUUCGGUGACGCUUAUUAUGGUGUAGCUGAUAAUUAAUUAGUUUUUGUUGGAUAUUUCGGCAUUCCAUGAUCUGAUAUUAUUUGGCAUCAAUAGAUCUAAAUAUCAGAUCCUUUUAAUUAAUUUUCUCUCCUUUAUUCUACUUUAGAAUGGAGGAUUCGCGCCGGUUCAUAGUAAUUGAAAAUAUUGCACAACAACAUUUAUUUGAAUCCUUUUUUAAGAAAAAGGAACUCCUUUUUGCUACAGUUUUAGUUUAAAACAAAAGAAAGAACUUGUGCCCAAUAGAGCUGGUUAUGUUACUUGUUAUUAGAAUUUGACCAAGUUGAGUAUCAAAUUAUUGAAAAUUUGCUUUGCCUUUUUUAUUUCUCAAUCUAGCUUUGUCUAAGGAAUAUGAUUAUUUUUUUAAUGUGAUUUUACAAAGUAAAUAUAUUUCUUUUUUCCUUUUGCUAGCGCUUGAGAAAAUGGCUUUCAAUUUAAUAUUCAUGUCAGUGCUUGUAGAACAUUUUAGUUUUCGCAAUUUCACAUGAAAUGUGAUAAAUGUUCUUGGAUAGAACUCAUUCUAAAAGCUAGCUCAAAGGAAGAGGUUGCCCAAUCCACUUAUAUAUAUUAUAAUAGCCCAGUAACCAAGUGAUGUGAGAUAAAUACAACUUCUAACAAAAUGCUCUUUAAUUUUAUAAGUUACAACUUCUAACAAAAUGCUCUUAAAUUUUAUAAGUUAUAUCUGUUUUGCUAACUGAUAAACAUAGUAACUGAGGACAUUUACUGUUUUAAAUUUUUCUCGUUCAGGACUAAAGGACUUGGUAAGUUUUCUAUAUAACAUAAUUGAAUAUAAAUGAAACUUAAUCAAACAAGAAAUAAACAGUACUUUUAUUGUUUGCUAAACAUGCUCAUAGAUUUUAGUUGUGGACACGAAUAGUUAUGCUUUGACAUUCUUGUACUAAGUUGCAGUUUUUCAGUGUCAUAUAACAUUUUGUUUUGUUUUGGUGAAUUGUCUACAGACUAUCAAAUCUACUAAUAAGCUUCUAUUCAAACACGGAAAGAAAAUGACAAUAUACAGGAUGGAUAGAAGAAGUCGUGACACUGGGCUUUAGGUUUAAAGUUUAGACUUCCUCUGUGUUUGGACCAAAACAAUAGAUAAGUUGAAUAAUUUUGCAAAUGAAAUUCAUGCAGAAUUCAUUUAUAAAUUAACAUUUUUCAGUGGUAUACAAUAUAUCAAUGCAUAGACUUUAUUGUAAAGUAUAGAUUUUGUUGUUUUGAAUCUCUUACAAACUUUGAGACUUUUUAUAGAAAUUGGUUUAGGAUGACCAACUCCUUGAAACCGAAACUUUAGGGUGGAAAUGAAACUGUUUGGGGUUGCAAACAUGUCAAGUAUGGAUUUACAAUUUAAUUCAGUGGCAUUUUAUGUCAGUAAUUUGCUACAAGCGACGUCUUUUGUUAAGAACUGAAGUAUAAAGUAAAAGAGAACUCAACAAUUCUGGAUAAUUGCAUGGCUUCUUGUUGAAUAAACUUAGGCUUAAAUGGCCUUUUACAAUGACAAUAGAAUGAGAAAAAACAAUGAGAAAAACAUGCUCACGUUAUUAACAAUUCAACAUGAAAAGUGCUAACAAUAAGAUUAUUCCAAAUAGAAAUCUUAAUUGAAUGCCUAAAAUCUCUCUUCAUAUCCCCCCUUAAACUAGUUACCAAGGACAACUAAUUUAACUUAGGAACACAACAAACUCCUAGCUGACUUCGAAACUUUUGAAAAACAUCCACCGUGAGGGGUUGUCAUCAAAUCAGCCAGUUGAUUUUGAGUCCCACAAUGAACUAAUUCAACUAUGCCAUCUUUUGUAAGAUCUCGAAGGAAAUGAAAGCGUACAUCGUUGUGCUUACUCCGGCCAUGUAACACAGGAUUUUUUGACAGUUUUAUUGUGGAACUGUUAUCACAAUAAAUUGUUGUGCACUUACUUUCCUCUUGACUCAGUUUUUCAAAUAUUCUUUUCAUCCAGAUAACUUGACUUGCACAUGCUGCUGCAGCCACAAAUUCUGCUUCUGUUUUUGAGAGCGUGACUAUAGGUUGUUUUCGUGAAGACCAUGCAACAGCUCCUGCACCCAACAUAAAAACAUAUCCUGAUGUACUUUUUCUAUCUUCAACAUCGCCUGCAUAGUCGCUAUUAGUAUAUCCAACCAGACUUUCGUAUCCUCCAUGCUUAUAGAAAACUCCAAAUCCUAUUGUGCCUUUCAAGUACCUUAGUAUUCUCUUUGCUACCAUCAAAUGCAAUUCAGUUGGAUUGGCCAUGUACCUGCUAAUCAGACUUGCUGCAAACAUCAAAUCUGGUCUCGUAGUGGUUAAGUACAUGAGGCAUCCUAUCAUUUGCUUAAACAAAGUUGCAUCCACAUGAACCCCACUUUCAUCUUUAAAAAGCUUACAGCCUGAAACAAUAGGAUUAUGAAUUGAUUUGCUAUUUUCCAUUUGAAAUCUCUUCAAGACUUCAAAGGCAUAUUUUCUUUGACAAAUAUAAAUACCAUCAGACCUUUGUAAGACUUUUAUACCCAAGAAAAACCUCAUUCUUCCUAAAUCAGUCAUAUCGAAUUCCCUCAAUAUGGAACUUUUAAAAUCACUAAACAUCAAUUCAUCAUUGCCAGUAAAUAUUAAGUCAUCAACAUACAAACUAACAAUGAGAAUUUUACCUCCGCUGCUUCUUUUAAUGAACAAAGUAUAUUCAUUAUGACACUUCUCAAACCCUUCGUUUGUGAAAUGAGCUUCAAUGCGACUGAACCAAGCUCGUGGAGCUUGUUUCAGUCCAUAUAGUGCUUUCUUCAAUUUAUAAACUUUUUGAGAAUUAUCUUUCAGUUCAUAACCUUUUGGUUGUUCCACAUACACUUCUUUCUUAAGUUCUCCAUGUAAGAACUCAGAUUUGACGUCAAGUUGAUAGAGUGUCCACCCUUUUAUGUGCUGCAAGUGCUACAAUCAUUCUCACCGUGUCCAUUCUUGCAACUGGUACAAAUACUUCUAUGUAAUCUAUCCCUUGCUGCUGCACGUAUCCUUUUACUACUAAUCGGGCUUUCAAUUUGUCAACUUCUCCAUUCUCCUUGAGUUUAGUUUUAUAAACCCAUUUCAAUCCAAUUGUCUUUGCACCUUCAGGAAGAUCAAUGAGUUCCCAUGUGUUGUUCUUCUCAAUAGCUUGUAUCUCCAUGUCCAUUGCUUGUCUCUAUUUAUCAUGUUUCACUGCUUCUUUAAAAUGAGCUGGAUCUACUGAACCAAAGAGAAUUGAAUUGACAAUUGCAUCUUCGUCUUCUGAAUCUUUUGAAAUUCCUUCCCCAGUAAUAUAAUCACGCAUCCAUGUUGGAGGCUUUUUAGAUGGUUCUUCAGUAUUUUGAGGACUGCCAAUAGACUCAGUGCUUGCUUCUUCCUCUCCAUUUAGUGCGUCUCUAUUCACAGUAUCAUUAUUGUCCCAUUCUAGAUCAACCAAUAUGUGUUCUUCAUAACUUUUAUCCCAACUCCAAGAUUUAUCUUCCUCAAAGACCACAUCUCUGCUGAUUAUGAUCUUCCUUGCAACUGGAUCAUAUAGUCUGUAUGCUUUAGACUCCUCACUUAUGCCCAAUAGCACACAAGCAAGACUCUUUGAAUCUAAUUUUUUUCUUUUCACGUCAUGAACAUGCACAUGUGCCAAACAGCCGAAAAUUUUGAAAUAAUCGAUUGAGGGUCUACUCCUACACCACGCUUCCUCAGGUGUUUGAUUCUUCACAGGGAGAGUAGGACUUCGAUUUAGAACAUGGAUUAUCCAGUUCACUGCCUCGGGCCAGAAAGUCUUCCGCAUUUCUUUCUCGGAUAGCAUGCAUCGAACCAUGUUCAUCAUGGUACGAUUCUUUCGUUUUGCUACUCCAUUUUGUUGCGGAGUGUAAGAUGCUGUCAAUUGCCUUUUGAUUCCAUGCUCUGUGCAAAACUCAUUAAACUCAUGGGAUGUGAAUUCUCCCCCUCUAUCUGUUCUCAGACAUUUGAUAUAUCCUCCUAUUUCCUUUUCUACAUAACUUUUGAAUUGUUUAAACAUGGUUAAUGCUUCAGAUUUCUCUACUAGAAAAUAAACCCACGCCUUUCUAGUAAGAUCAUCAAUAAAGCAUAAAAAAUAUCUCUUCUUACUAUUAGACGUAGGAGAGAUCGGUCCGCAAAUAUCGCCAUGAACAAGUUGAAGUUUUUCUGUGGCUCUCCAAUUGCUCGACUUUGGGAUUGGAUUUCUAUGUUGUUUUCCAAUCAUACAAUUCGCACACACCGUUGUUGGAGUUUCGAAUGGAGGUAGUCAAUGCACCAUGUUUUUAUAUUGGAGAGUCCUUAGCCCCUUGUAGCUCAAUGUCCAUAACGAUAGUGCCAUAAAGUUGCUAAAUCACACGUUGAAGUGUAGAGACAAGUUGAGUUUUGGGGCAAUGGUUCUGCCCGCAGCACAAACAUCCGAUUCUUUGCUAUCUCUGUCUGAAUUAUAAGCCCUUUGUCUGGAUGAUAGAAUUUGAGUGUUCCACCUUGAAUAAGAAUUGCCAGCCCUUUUUCUUGUAGUUGAACAAUGGUUAACAGAUUGUUCUUCAGCUCAGGCACAAAAAAUACUUCACGGACAGUAUAUGAAAAACCACUUACUUUCAAUCUCACAUUGCCUUUACCUAAUACAUUCAACUUUGUGUUAUUUCCCAGAGUCACCUUCUGCCUGAAUGUCUCAUCAAAGUGUUCAAACUCAUUCUUGUCGCCACACAUGUGAUUGCUGCAUCUAGAAUCUAGAAACCAAAUGUUUUUCCUUUGAUCAUCUUUCAUCUUCACAUAUGACAUGAGCAACCUCUCUUCUCCUUCUUCUUCUUGUUCAACAUAAUUAGCUUCUUUAUCCCAGCUUGGACAUUCAUAUUGAAAAUGCCCAAGUUUAUGACAUUUAAAGCGUUCUAUCGUUGCUUUAUUGUAGGACUGGCGCCUCCCUCUUCCUCUACCUCUGUUUGCACCUCGACCCCUUCCCUCUUGCACUUGUUUUGUCAUCAUGACUAACUUUGAGUGCUUGUUCUGUUCCUGCAUAUCGUUGAAUUUUUGCUCGUGAAGAAUUAAAGAACUCUGCAACUCAUCUAUGGAAAGUUGAUCGAUAUGUCUUUGGACUCCUCGAUUGCACAAACAACGUAAUUAAAAUUCUCGUUUAGAGAUCUGAGAAUUUUUUCAACAAUUAUGACAUCUUGCAUCUGCUCACCAUAUGUCCUCAUCUUGUUAGCCACUGUUAAGACUCUUGAAAAAUACUCAGAGACACCUUCUCCGAUUUUCAUCUCUAGAGUUUCAAACUCUUUGCGGGGAGCUUGAAGAUGUGAUCUCUUAACUCUAGCCCUUCCUUCAAACUUUCUCUUCAUGGAUUCCCAAAUCUGUUUGGAAGUAUUUUUCUCCAGAAUGGUUUCUAGUAUUGUCCGAUCUAUGGCUUGAAAAAGAAAGUUCUUUACUUUCAUGUCUUUCAGCCGUGAUUCCUCUAGCUUCUUUCGUUGUGCUUCUGUCUGCACUGUACCAUAUGUUGGUUCCUCAUAACCAAUUUCUACCAAUCCCCAUAACUCCUUUGAUCGUAGGAAAUUUUCCAUCAACAUGCUCCAAUGGUCAUAGUGACCAUUAAAGUGAGGGAUAGAUGGCUGCACAAAAUUCCCUUUGCUUGUUGUCCUGUUGUUGUAAGGACUUCAAAGUCUGUUGCUUUCCCAGUGGGGGCUCUGAUACUAAAAUGUUAAGAACUGUAGUAUAAAGUAAAAGAGAACUCAACAACUCUGGAUAAUUGCAUGACUUCUUAUUGAAUAAACUUAGGCUUAAAUGGCCUUUUACAAUGACAACAGAAUGAGAAAAACAUGCUCACGUUAUUAACAAUUCAACGUGAAAAGUGCUAACAGUAAGAUUAUUCCAAAUAGAAAUCUUAACUGAAUGCCUAAAAUCUCUCUUCAUCUUUAUGGUAUUUAAAUUAAUUAUAACAUUAUGUUUGGUUCAAAUCUUAUGUGGAAUUUUAAUUUCAAUUACAAAUGAUUUUAUAAUAGAAUUCAUUUGUAAAUGAAUUUUGGUAUUUGGUAUAUUUUAUAAUAAAUGUAGAAUUCAUUUUUAAUAUUUUUGUGUUUGGUUUAAUUGCAAAAAUCAAUUCAAUAUUUUAAAAAUGCCCUUUAUAUGUAUUAUUUUGUAAUUUAGAUAUUUUCUAACCAAAUAUUAAUUAAAAUGAGAGAGAGAAGAGAGAGAAAAGGAAAACAUAAAAAAGGGAAAGAGAGAGAACUAUGAUAUUCGAAUAGUGUACUUUUUUCAUAACAAUGAAAAACUCAUAAGCUUCGAGUUCGUUUGCGAAUUCUAUCAAAUUCGGUAGAUUUUGGUUGAAUUAUAACCAAUUCCAUGAACCUUAUGAGUUAGAAUUCCAAGUGGUUUUUCAUUUAUGCCAAAUACACUAAAUUUGAAAUUAAAAAUGAAUUCCAUAAAAACUUAUGGAACUCAUUUAUACCAAACACAGUGUAAAUAUAGUUUCCAAAUUCUUCUGGUUUCAUAGUAGAUGGUAGGUCAAUACUGGAUUGUUUUCUCUCUAGUUCUUUCAUGCUUUGUUCUAAAUGUAGUUUCCAUUGCUAUAUGAUGCUGGAACCAGGCUUAGGGUAACUUUUGUGUUUUCCUCUAUUCUAUUUGAAGUCAGUGUGAUAACAAUUCAGUUGUACUCUAGAUCACUUAAAAAUGUUUUCAAGUUUCUGUAUUGACAUCCUUGUGAGCCAGGGUGGAUGUGAAGGGUAACUCAUGAUGACACCAAAAUGUGCUAGUUUUAAUUGUGUUCUUUCACCUCUCUCUCUCUCUCUCUCUCUCUCUCUUGUGUAUCUGUGGAUGCAUAUGAAUGAAUGUUUGGAUGCAUGUUUACGUUAUGUAUGUACACUCGUAUUACCUAAACUCUUUAAGGUACUUUGUUUUGAUGAUGAAUGUUUAAUAGUAUUGAUUGUGACGCUUGAGGAUUGAACGGAAAUAUCCUGCUUAAUGUCAAAGCUUUGGGCUUCAUCAACUGCUCAUGUACUGUCCCUGCUCCAGAUUUCAUGGCUAUGGUAUGGUAUCUCAUUUUUCUAGCAUUUCCCAUCAUGUCAUAUAUAUUGUGGUUUCUAUGUGUAACAGUUGAUGUGCUGGAUAUGCAAUAGUGAAGUUUUGCUUGCUUGGUUUUACUGCCAUUUACCACUGGUUAGUCUCUACAUCAGUCGAUGUUUGUACUUGUGUGUUUUGUGUUUAGCAAUCUGGGACCCUUACAGUUUCAUUUUAUUAGCAAAAGGUAGCAAAAGGUUCCACUUUGACAUUGAAUCAUCUUAAUUUUUAUUUUCAUAUGCAUGCAUGCAAACAUUUGGUCUCUUGUUUUGUUGUUUGUCAAAUUUUCUAUUAGUGCACCUGCUUGUUCUGGUUACUAGCACUUGUGUUCAUCUUGGAGACUGUUCGACAGUUUCCAAUAUAUGGUAUUUGAUCAAAAUCACUUAUAAACCCCCUUCUUCUAGCCCAUCUAUUAAUGUACAAGUACUUUUUCCUUAACAACUAGUGGUAAACUUAAGGCAUUUCAUUGUAUUGGUGAUUUUAUACUCAUCUACGGAAUGUAUAACUAAGUAUCAGUGUCUUGAGGUUCAUUUGGAUGAUUGACUAAACAAAGAUUUUGCAGGUCUUGCUGGUUAGAACAAGAAAAAGAUUUGACUCCAAUUCUUUUUGGCAACUUGGCUUUGUUGCCCAGCAUCCUCUUUGAGAUUUGCAGGUUGUCGUCCUGGCAGUAUCCUUGUUAAGGUUUAUCAAGUGCUCAUGUUCUCUAACAUGCUGCAGACAUUCCACCCAACCCCCAACCCUUCCUUCUUCCAUCAUUGGAUGAUGCC